rnacentral:rRNA from 1 species
CUACGGGUUGCUGCAGUUGAGAAUUUUUUGCAAUGCGCGCAAGCGUGACAAAGCGAGCCAGAGUGUCUCUUUUAAAGAGACUUUUAUUAGCUGCAAAAAGACUAAUGAAUAAGGACUGGGCAAGACUGGUGCCAGCCGCCGCGGUAAUACCAGCGGUCCAAGUCGCAGCCAAAAUUAUUGGGUCUAAAACAUCCGUAGCUUGUUAUGUAAGUCUCUUGUGAAAUCUCAUCUCUUAAGGAUAAGGCGAGCAGGAGAUACUAUAUAACUAGAGACUGGAGGAUGCGAGAAGUACGAUCAAGGUAGUGGUAAAAUACGUUAAUCUUGAUUGGACUAACAAUAGCGAAGGCAUCUCGCAAUUACAGAUCUGACAGUGAGGGAUGAAGGCUAGGGGCGCAAAACGGAUUAGAUACCCGGGUAGUC